GAUGAACGCUGGCGGCGUGCCUAAUACAUGCAAGUCGAGCGAACGGACGAGAAGCUUGCUUCUCUGAUGCUAGCGGCGGACGGGUGAGUAACACGUGGAUAACCUACCUAUAAGACUGGGAUAACUUCGGGAAACCGGAGCUAAUACCGGAUAAUAUUUUGAACCGCAUGGUUCAAAAGUAAAAGACGGUCUUGCUGUCACUUAUAGAUGGAACCGCGCUGCAUUAGCUAGUUGGUAAGGUAACGGCUUACCAAGGCAACGAUGCAUAGCCGACCUGAGAGGGUGAUCGGCCACACUGGAACUGAGACACGGUCCAGACUCCUACGGGAGGCAGCAGUAGGGAAUCUUCCGCAAUGGGCGAAAGCCUGACGGAGCAACGCCGCGUGAGUGAUGAAGGUCUUCGGAUCGUAAAACUCUGUUAUUAGGGAAGAACAUAUGUGUAAGUAACUGUGCACAUCUUGACGGUACCUAAUCAGAAAGCCACGGCUAACUACGUG
rnacentral:rRNA from 1 species